rnacentral:rRNA from 1 species
UACGUAGGGUGCAGGCGUUAAUCGGAAUUACUGGGCGUAAAGCGUGCGCAGGCGGUUGUGCAAGACAGAUGUGAAAUCCCCGGGCUUAACCUGGGAACUGCAUUUGUGACUGCACAGCUGGAGUGCGGCAGAGGGGGAUGGAAUUCCGCGUGUAGCAGUGAAAUGCGUAGAUAUGCGGAGGAACACCGAUGGCGAAGGCAAUCCCCUGGGCCUGCACUGACGCUCAUGCACGAAAGCGUGGGGAGCAAACAGG